AUUGAACGCUGGCGGAAUGCUUUACACAUGCAAGUCGAACGGCAGCACGGGCUUCGGUCUGGUGGCGAGUGGCGAACGGGUGAGUAAUACAUCGGAACGUGCCCAGUCGUGGGGGAUAACGUAGCGAAAGCUACGCUAAUACCGCAUACGAUCUACGGAUGAGAGCGGGGGAUCGCAAGACCUCGCGCGAUUGGAGCGGCCGAUAUCAGAUUAGGUAGUUGGGGAGGAAAAGGCUCACCAAGCCGACGAUCUGUAGCUGGUCUGAGAGGACGACCAGACACACGGGGACUGAGACACGGCCCAGACUCCUACGGGAGGCAGCAGUGGGGAAUUUUGGACAAUGGACGCAAGUCUGAUCCAGCCAUUCCGCGUGCAGGACGAAGGCCUUCGGGUUGUAAACUGCUUUUGUACAGAACGAAAAGGUCUCUAUUAAUACUAGGGGCUCAUGACGGUACUGUAAGAAUAAGCACCGGCUAACUACGUGCCAGCAGCCGCCGUAA
rnacentral:rRNA from 1 species